UUGCAGAGGAUGCUUCGGGUUCGGUUCCGGUCUAAGUUCCUUGGAACAGGACGUCAUAGAGGGUGAGAAUCCCGUAUGUGACCGGCCGCCACGCCCGUGUGAAGCUCCUUCGACGAGUCGAGUUGUUUGGGAAUGCAGCUCAAAAUGGGUGGUAAAUUUCAUCUAAAGCUAAAUAUUGGCCAGAGACCGAUAGCGCACAAGUAGAGUGAUCGAAAGAUGAAAAGCACUUUGGAAAGAGAGUCAAACAGUACGUGAAAUUGUUGAAAGGGAAGCGCUUGCAACCAGACUUGCCCGCGGGCGAUCAGCCGGUAUUCUUACCGGUGCACUCACCCGCGGUCAGGCCAGCAUCGGUUCGGGCGGCUGGACAAAGUCCGCUGGAAUGUAGCUCCUCUUGGGGAGUGUUAUAGCCAGCGGUGCCAUGCAGCCCGCCCGGACCGAGGACCGCGCUUCGGCUAGGAUGCUGGCGUAAUGGUUGUAAGCGACCCGUCUUGAAACACGGACCAAGGAGUCUAACAUCUAUGCGAGUGUUUGGGUGUCAAACCCAUGCGCGUAAUGAAAGUGAACGGAGGUGGGAACCCUCAAGGGUGCACCAUCGACCGAUCCUGAUGUCUUCGGAUGGAUUUGAGUAAGAGCAUAGCUGUUGGGACCCGAAAGAUGGUGAACUAUGCCUGAAUAGGGUGAAGCCAGAGGAAACUCUGGUGGAGGCUCGCAGCGGUUCUGACGUGCAAAUCGAUCGUC
rnacentral:rRNA from 1 species